AUGUUCUCUCUAGCUCUGCUGCUGCUGGCUGCUGGAUCCUGUGUGAAGUGUGAGCAGCUGACACAGCCAGCCUCUGUUAUUGUGCAGCCAGGUCAGCGUCUGACCAUCACCUGUCAGGUCUCUUAUUCUCUUGGCUACUACACAGCUUGGAUCCGACAGCAUGCAGGGAAAGGACUGGAGUGGAUUGGGAUGAAACAUACUUCAACUUCAUACUACAAAGAUUCACUAAAGAACAAAUUCAGCAUUGACAUAGACACUUCAAGCAACACAGUAACUUUAAAUGGACAGAAUAUACAGCCUGAAGACACUGCUGUGUAUUACUGUGCCAGAGAGUCACAGUAA